UUGAUUUUAGUUAUUUGUGAACGUACUACGAACAAACAAAGAAUAUUAUAGUCAAAAAAAAAUUAAAUCA
rnacentral:misc_RNA from 1 species